AUUGAACGCUGGCGGCAGGCCUAACACAUGCAAGUCGAGCGAGCGGCGGACGGGUGAUUAAUGUCUGGGGAACUGCCCGAUAGGGGGGGCUAACUACUGGCAACGGUGUCUAAUAACGCAUACUAUUGGAUGAACCCAUAUGGGAUUAGCUAGUAGGUGGGGUAAAGGCUCACCUAGGCGACGACUUCUAGCUGGUCUGAGAGGAUGAUCAGCCACACUGGGACUGAGACACGGCCCAGACUCCUACGGGAGGGAGCAGUGGGGAAUAUUGCACAAUGGGCGCAAGCCUGAUGCAGCCAUGCCGCGUGUAUGAAGAAGGCCUUAGGGUUGUAAAGUACUUUCAGCGGGGAGGCGUUACCCGCAGAAGAAGCACCGGCUAACUCCGUGCCAGCAGCCGCGGUAAUUC
rnacentral:rRNA from 1 species